CGAACGGUAACAGCGGAGCUUGCUCCGGCUGACGAGUGACGGACGGGUGAGUAACGCGUAGGAAUCUGCCCAGUAGUGGGGGAUAGCCCGGGGAAACCCGGAUUAAUACCGCAUACGCCCUACGGGGGAAAGGCCGGGAUCUUCGGACCGGUCACUAUUGGAGGAGCCUGCGUUGGAUUAGCUAGUUGGUAGGGUAAAGGCCUACCAAGGCUACGAUCCAUAGCUGGUCUGAGAGGACGAUCAGCCACACUGGAACUGAGACACGGUCCAGACUCCUACGGGAGGCAGCAGUACGGAAUAUUGUCCGAUGGGCGCAAGCCUGAGACAGCCAUGCCGCGUGUGUGAAGAAGGCCCUAGGGUUGUAAAGCACUUUCAGCAGGGAGGAAAAUGGCCGGAUUAAUACCCCGGGUUUUUGACGUUACCUGCAGAAGAAGAUCCGGCUAACUCCGUGCCAGCAGCCGCGGUAAUACGGAGGGAUCGAACGUUAAUCGGAAUUACUGGGCGUAAAGCGCACGCAGGUGGUUUGUUAAGUGGGAUGUGAAAGCCCCGGGCUUAACCUGGGAACUGCAUUCCGAACUGACGAACUAGAGUACGAUAGAGGGGGGUAGAAUUCAGAGUGUAGCGGUGAAAUGCGUAGAUAUUCUGAGGAAUACCGGUGGCGAAGGCGGCCCCCUGGAUUGAUACUGACACUCAUGUGCGAAAGCGUGGGGAGCAAACAGGAUUAGAUACCCUGGUAGUCCACGCCGUAAACGAUGUCUGCUAGCCGUUGGGAGGCUUGACCUUUUAGUGGCGAAGCUAACGCGAUAAGUAGACCGCCUGGGGAGUACGGUCGCAAGAUUAAAACUCAAAUGAAUUGACGGGGGCUCGCACAAGCGGUGGAGCAUGUGGUUUAAUUCGAUGCAACGCGAAGAACCUUACCAGGCCUUGACAUCCUGAGACUUUCUAGAGAUAGAUCGGUGCUUCGGGACUCAGUGACAGGUGUGCAUGCUGUCGUCAGCUCGUGUGUGAGAUGUGGGUAAGUCCCGUACGAGCGCACCCUUAUCUUACUAGGCAGCACUUCGGGUGAGAACUUAAGGAGACUUGCGGGUGACAACCGGAGGAUAGAGAAAGAUGAUGUCAGGUCAUCUUGGGCCCUUACGGGCCUGGGGGUUACACACCGGGUUAAAAUGGGGGGGAUACAGAAAGAA
rnacentral:rRNA from 1 species